rnacentral:rRNA from 1 species
UACGAAGGGGGCUAGCGUUGCUCGGAAUCACUGGGCGUAAAGCGCACGUAGGCGGAUUGCUAAGUCAGGGGUGAAAUCCUGGAGCUCAACUCCAGAACUGCCUUUGAUACUGGCGAUCUCGAGUUCGGGAGAGGUGAGUGGAACUGCGAGUGUAGAGGUGAAAUUCGUAGAUAUCAGGAAGAACACCCGUGGCGAAGGCGGCUCUCUGGGACGGUACUGACGCUGAGACGCGAAAGCGUGGGGAGCGAACAGG